rnacentral:siRNA from 1 species
GAAAGUAGGCUGCCAAUUCCAG